rnacentral:rRNA from 1 species
GAUGAACGCUGGCGGCAUGCCUAAUACAUGCGAGUCGAGCGAACAGACGAGGAUCUUUCUCCUAUGCCGUUAGCGGCGGACGGGUGAGUAACACGUAGAUAACCUACCUAUAAGACUGGGAUAACUUCGGGAAACCUGAGAUCAUACCCGUUCAUAUAUUGAACCGCAUGGUUCAAUAGUUCAAGCCCGUUUUGCUGUUCCUUAUAGAUGUUUCCGCGCCGCAUUAGCUAGUUGGUAAGGUAACGGCUUACCAAGGCGACGAUGCGUAGCUGACCUGAGAGGGUGAUCAGCCACACUGGAACUGAGACACGGUCCAGACUCCUACGGGAGGCAGCAGUAGGGAAUAUUGCGCAAUGGGCGAAAGCCUGACGGAGCAACGCCGCGUGAGUGAAGAAGGUCUUCGGAUUGUAAAACUCUGUUAUUAGGGAAGAACAAAAGUGAAUGUAACUAUUCACGUCUUGACGGUACCUAAACAGAAAGCAACGGCUAACUACGUG